rnacentral:rRNA from 1 species
AUAACAAAGCCAAGUCUCAGUUUAAUUAAAACUGAAACUAGAGAGGAGAAUAAAACAUUAAUAAGCGAUCCUAAGGUAAAUCUUAAAAAAAUUAUAAAAACUUCCUGAAGUAAAACAUUUUAUUAAGGAAAGGAAAGGAAAUCAACCGAGACUCCGAAAGUAAUGGUGAGUGAAAUCGGAUUAGCCUAAAUUAAGUUUAUAUUUUAAAUAAUAAGUAUCGCUUAGGCGGUAAUAAUUGUAAUUACUACAAUUAACAAUUAGCAAUUGAAGCAAAUCAAUUGUUCUAAAAAUAGGUGUAUCGAGAGUAGUCCUAAUAAAAUAUAAACUUAAUAUUAUUAAUCUAGUUAUUUUAUCGCUUGCGGUAAGCAACCCGCUAGGCUAAGCUUACGCGGGAAGUGACGGGAUUCUUUUUUACCAAAGAAAGAUUCUACGUAUUAGGUCCUCUUUUUUAAGGAGGACAACUAGGAAAAAUUACGAUGAGAGAUAACUUGUCGGAAUACAGGGGAACCAUCCUCUAAGGCUAAGUAUUAUAAAUUUAGCGAUAGUGAAAAAGUACUGUAAAGGAAAAGUUUGAAAAGCAUGUAGUAUACAUAUCUAAAUUUAAAUUAUUAUUUAAUUUAGUAAGGUGAAAUAGAUCUUGAAUUAGUAAUUCUAUAAGCAGUCGAAAUUCUUAUUUUUAAAAUUAAAGAAUAACGGCGUACCUUUUGCAUAAUGGGUCAGCAAGUUAAUAUAAGUAGCAAGGUUAAAAGCCUAAGCGAAAGCGACUAUACUAAACAGGAUUUGGUUAGUUUUAAACAACCCUAUCCACAAAUUAGUACUGGAUAAGUUACUUAUAUUAGACCCGAAGCCAGGUGAUCUUACCAAGACCAGAUUAUAAUGGAUCGAACGGGUGAAUGUUGCAUAAUUCUCCGAUGAGUUUUGGUAAGAGGUGAAAUGCCAAUCUAACCUGGUGCUAGCUGGUUUUCUACCGAAACAUAUUUUAGUAUGAUGUCUACAAAUUAAAAAGAUUUAUGGAGGUACAGCAAGACAAUUCCCAACAAGUUAAAAUAUUUAUAUUUUAAUGCGUUUAGGUUGCGGGGAUCUAGCAAAUCUUACCUUUGGAAACGAAUCUCGGAAUUACAUAAAUUGAUAGUAGAUAUUCAGACUGCUCAUGCUAAGUUGGGCAGUCAAGACGGAAACAGCCGAGAACACUAAUCAAGGUCCCAAAGGAUUGUUAAGUGAAAUUAAGGACGUAGCAAUAUCAAAUACAGCUGUGAAGUGAGCCUGGCAGUCGCUACUUAUAAUGAACGUAUGUAACAACGCAACAGCAGUCAUCAUCUAUUGAUUUUUUUCGGUAGGUUGGUUUUUUUUUUUGUCACUAAGACCUAAUAAGAUCAACCUACUACAAAGAGUUAGCGGAUGAUUUUGAUAGUCGCGCCGAAAAUUCAACGGGUCUAAAACAAUCCACCGAUAUUGUGUUGAUUAAGACUUAAUAAAUAAUUAGUCUUAAUUUAGGUAGUAGAACAUUCAGUUUAACUGUUGAAAAAAUAGUGUUUCAUUAUUUAUUAGGUAACUGAAGAGAGAAUGCUGACAUGAGUAACGUAAAAAAUUCCUAAAAUGGAAUUCGCCGAAUACGAAAGGGUUGCAUAAGAAAGGUUAAUCCUCUUUGUGUUAAUGCGGCCUCUAAGGUAACUAGCCAUAGCUAUUACUGAUGAGUUUAUUAUAGAAAAUUAUUUAAUUAAUUUUAAAUAAUCAGGAAAUUAAUAUAACUGGGCCAGGGUUGAGUAGUAGGUUUAACUUACUUCACUUCCCAGGUACUGCUACCGUACCCUAAACCGACACAGGUUCGUAAGUAGAGUAUACUAAGGCGAAGAGCUAAAAGUUGUUAAGGAACUCGGCAAAUUCACCUCAUAAGUUCAACGAUAAGAGGUACCUUAAUUUUUUUAAAAAAAGGUGGCACAGAAUCGGAGGCCACGACUGUUUACUAAAAACACAACACAGUGCAAUCAUUAAUGUGAUAGUAUACUGUGUGAAAUUUGCCCAAUGCCAUUAAUAUAAGAACAAUCAUGGGAAUAUAAACUGUGAUUUAUCGAAAAUCUGGUUAAUAGCGGUCUUAACUAUGAGGAUCCUAAGGUAGCAAAAUCAAUUGGCCAUUAAAUGUGGUCCGGUAUCAAUAAUGUAACGAUGGUCUCACUGUCUCUACAACUUGCUCAGUGAAAUUGAAUUACGCGUGCAGAUGCGCGUUACCACCAGGGGGACGGGAAGACCCUAUGCAGCUUUACUGUAAUUAGUUAUCAUAUGAAUCUAGAACAACUUUAAUUAAUAGUGAAUAGGGAAAUCGAAAGAUAAAUAGUGGAAACCUUAUAAUUUAAGUUGGGUUUAUGUUAACCUAUAUUUAGAAUAUUACUUCACUAGGGAGAGUUGACUAAUUGGCAGUUUGACUGGGGCGGUCGUCUUUAAAAUAGUAGCAAAGUACAUCCAAAUUUUAAAAUUUAAAUAACAAUUACAAAAAAAAUUUAAGUUAUUUAGUUUAAUUGGCUUACUUUAAUUUUUAAUUAAAAUGGCCAAUUGGUCCCGCGUAAGCGAGGACCUACUCCUUGCUUUAUUGAUCUUUUUAGACUUAAUAAAAAAAAGGAGCCAGACUAAUUAAUUUAAAUUAUUAAUUUUUUUACAAGGUAUAGCUAGAAAUUGAAUGGAAAUCAAUCAACCAGUGAAGGGUUGCGCAGUGUUCAAUGGCGGUAAGCAUGCUUAACUGAGAGACUCAAAAGUCAAACAGAUACGUAAGUAGGGCAUAGUGACCCCUCGCUUUAGUAUGGGAUAGACGGGGAUCAAUUAAUAAAAGUUACGCUAGGGAUAACAGGCUGAUAGCCGACGAGAGUACACAUUGUCUCGGCUGUUUGGCACCUUAAUGAAAAAGCAAUAAUUAACAUAACAAAUACCCCUAAAUACCUCAUUUAUUGACAAGUUAUCGCAUUAGCGAAGAGGUAGCUCUUUAUAAAUAAAAUCUUAAGGUUGAGAGAAAAUUAA